rnacentral:rRNA from 1 species
AGUGAACGCUGGCGGUAGGCCUAACACAUGCAAGUCGAACGGCAGCACAGUAAGAGCUUGCUCUUACGGGUGGCGAGUGGCGGACGGGUGAGGAAUACAUCGGAAUCUACUUUUUCGUGGGGGAUAACGUAGGGAAACUUACGCUGAUACCGCAUACGACCUACGGGUGAAAGCAGGGGAUCUUCGGACCUUGCGCGAUUGAAUGAGCCGAUGUCGGAUUAGCUAGUUGGCGGGGUAAAGGCCCACCAAGGCGACGAUCCGUAGCUGGUCUGAGAGGAUGAUCAGCCACACUGGAACUGAGACACGGUCCAGACUCCUACGGGAGGCAGCAGUGGGGAAUAUUGGACAAAGGGCGCAAGCCUGAUCCAGCCAUACCGCGUGGGUGAAGAAGGCCUUCGGGUUGUAAAGCCCUUUUGUUGGGAAAGAAAAGCAGCAGGUUAAUACCCCGCUGUUCUGACGGUACCCAAAGAAUAAGCACCGGCUAACUUCGUG